UAGUGGGGAGGGACCACACCAUGAUAAACAACCAUUUUUCCAUAGAUUCUCCUCUCUCCUAAGUCAAUCAAGAUGGAGACGACGAAGGAGUGGUCCGAUCUUCCAAAGGAGCUAUGGCCGGCAAUCGGAAAUCGCCUCGACAACCGCCUCGACGUUCUCCGAUUUCGCAGCGUCUGCAAGACAUGGCGCUCCUCCGUCUCCCCUUUUCAGCAACCCGUUACCCCUCCUCUGCCCCUCAGCUUCUCUUCCCCUCCCGCCGCCGAGGAUGGCGGAGCUCUGCAGACUCAACCCAAAGCCCUACUCUUUCAAAUCAAAGUCUAUCGGAUGGAAUCGCUCGUCGGCGAAAAGCCCAAUUCGUCAAAACCGUGGGUGGUGAAGUUUGAGGAGUCGAGUUCCGGGGACCUGCGAUUGCUGCAUCCAAUCAGUAAUAAGCCACUCAGGUUUUUCCCUGCAUCUAACUCUUUAAAGGAAUUCAAUUUGUUGGACUUUAAGAUGGUCGAAUUGCGAAAAUCGUAUAGUCUGCAGUUUAGAAAUAGUCUCAAUGUUGUUACGGCUUGUGUGAACAAAGUGGUAGUCAUGGAUGCAAAAAAGUUGAAUGAUUGUGGUAUUUUUAUAAUUUGCAAUGGCGGAAAGUUGGGUUUCUUGAGAUUCGGGGAUGAGAAAUGGACCCAUGUGGAUGAACAAAACUCACACUACGAUGAUCUUAUUGUGUAUAAGGGUCAAUGCUAUGUUGUCGAUAGAUGGGGAACAAUUUCAUGGGUCAAUUCUGAUUUGAAUGUGAUCCAAUUUUCGCCUCCGUUAUGUGGGUUUGGCGGGCGGAAGCAUUUGGUUGAGUCUUGUGGCGAUCUCUUCGUUGUUGAUCGGUACCUUGACAAGUGUGAAAUGGAAAGGUUCCCAGAGCACAAUGUUGAGAAUGAAAAUGUUAGUGUUUUUGGCCCUAAUUUUCAAGCUCCUCCUCAUCGUUUCGCCGCUUCUGUUGACGGCGAGGCUGUUGAUUUUAAAGUUUAUAGGCUGGAUCAAGAAUGGGGUAGGUGGGUUGAUGUGAAGAACUUGGGAGAUCAAGUGUUUAUUUUGAGCAAUGAUGGGUCUUUCGCCUUCUCCACCAAAGACUUUGGUAGAGUGAAGGGAAAUUGCAUUUUAUUCACUGAUCAAAAGCUUCCUCAUUUACACGGAAUUGGGGGAUCAAAAAGGUGUAACACUCGCGUGUUCAUGCUAGAGAGUGGCAUCAUUCGGGACGGACAUGCUUUGUCCUGCUUUAACAAAAUGCUCCAUCCACCAUCCAGUUGGCUCCGCCCUGUUCUUGAUUUCCGUCGGCAUCGGCUUGCAGACUGAUUAAUUCUUUUUCCUAAAGAACAUUAUCAUUCACCUCAAAGGAUUGUAGGUUUCCAGCGAUGACAAACCCAUGAUUUAGUGCUCAUGUUAUGACAAUCUUAUGUAGACACCGAAUGGCUAUAUCGAAAAUGUAAACAAAUUGAUGUAGGAUAACGCACGUUUUAAAGAAAAAGGGAAGAAAUACAGGUUUUCUUCAAAACCUGAAAAAGUUCUAUCGCGAUUCAUGAGGGAUACUGCUGACAGCGAAUGAAGACACAUUUUCUGAAUCUCUCGGGGGCGGAAUAUCCAGUUUCUCUUGAGUGAUUUGUAGAAUCAUCUGAUCGAAACUAGUGUAAAAUCAUCAAUCUAGUUUAUCCGAUGUGUAAGCAUGCGGUUUAUCGAUGUUAUUAUGGAUGUAUAUAUGCAGAUUAUGCAAUCUGUUUCUUUGUUGAACUCAAAUCUUUACAUGUAAUUGGUAACGUAAUGCGUUUCUUGAA